rnacentral:rRNA from 1 species
GGGAUGGGCGAGCCUGACGGAGCACGCCGCGUGAGGGAUGAAGGCCUCUGGGCUGUAAACCUCUUUUAUCAAGGAAGAAGAUCUGACGGUACUUGAUGAAUAAGCCACGGCUAAUUCCGUGCCAGCAGCCGCGGUAAUACGGGAGUGGCAAGCGUUAUCCGGAAUUAUUGGGCGUAAAGCGUCCGCAGGCGGCCCUUCAAGUCUGCUGUUAAAAAGUGGAGCUUAACUCCAUCAUGGCAGUGGAAACUGUUGGGCUUGAGUGUGGUAGGGGCAGAGGGAAUUCCCGGUGUAGCGGUGAAAUGCGUAGAUAUCGGGAAGAACACCAGUGGCGAAGGCGCUCUGCUGGGCCAUCACUGACGCUCAUGGACGAAAGCCAGGGGAGCGAAAGGGAUUAGAUACCCCUGUAGUCCUGGCCGUAAACGAUGAACACUAGGUGUCGGGGGAAUCGACCCCCUCGGUGUCGUAGCCAACGCGUUAAGUGUUCCGCCUGGGGAGUACGCACGCAAGUGUGAAACUCAAAGGAAUUGACGGA